CCCUUAGAUGUUCUGGGCCGCACGCGCGCUACACUGACGAUGGCAACGAGUUUUUCCUUCGCCGAAAGGUGUGGGUAAUCUUUUGAAACAUCGUCGUGCUGAGGAUAGAUCAUUGCAAUUUUUGAUCUUGAACGAGGAAUUCCUAGUAAGCGCGAGUCAUCAGCUCGCGUUGAUUACGUCCCUGCCCUUUGUACACACCGCCCGUCGCUACUACCGAUUGAAUGGUUUAGUGAGGACUCCUGAUUGGCGCCGCCGCCCCGGCAACGGAGCAGCGGACUGCCGAAAAGUUGUUCAAACUUGAUCAUUUAGAGGAAGUAAAAGUCGUAACA
rnacentral:rRNA from 1 species